rnacentral:rRNA from 1 species
AUUGAACGCUGGCGGCAGGCUUAACACAUGCAAGUCGAACGAGUGGCGGACGGGUGAGUAUUGUAUGGGGAUCUGCCUGACGGCGGGGGAUAACUACUGGAAACGGUAGCUACUACCGCACACCAUCCGAUGAACCCCUAUGGGAUUAGCUUGUAGGUGGGGUAACGGCGCACCUAGGCGACGAUCCCUAGCUGGGCUGAGAGGAUGAUAAGCCACACUGGGAGUGAGACACGGCCCAGACUCCUACGGUAGGCAGCAGUGGGGAAUAUUGCACAAUGGGCGCAAGCCUGAUGCAGACAUGCUGCGUGUAUGAAGAAGGCAUUCGGGUUGUAAAGUACUUUCAGUCGGGAGGCGUUACCGACAGAAGAAGCACCGGCUAACUCCGUGCCAGCAGCCGCGGUAAUAC